rnacentral:rRNA from 1 species
CUUAACCGGGCGUUAAGUUGCAGGGUAUAGACCCGAAACCCGGUGAUCUAGCCAUGGGCAGGUUGAAGGUUGGGUAACACUAACUGGAGGACCGAACCGACUAAUGUUGAAAAAUUAGCGGAUGACCUGUGGCUGGGGGUGAAAGGCCAAUCAAACCGGGAGAUAGCUGGUUCUCCCCGAAAGCUAUUUAGGUAGCGCCUCGUGAAUUCAUCUCCGGGGGUA